rnacentral:rRNA from 1 species
AUGAUUGAUGUAGUUUCACUGAAUCAAAAUACUGAUGCCUUUUCCCUUCUCCGUGACAACUUUCAGAGAACUAGGAAAGUAAUGGUGGACUCUCAUGAAGCACAAAGACAGAUAAUGUUUGAGGCAAAUUCCUUCACCGGCCCUGCGUAUGAGAAAUUCUGCAAUGAUGCCCAGCGGCAUGCUACUCUCAAGCUGGAGGUCGAGCUUAGGAACUGGAGGUCCUGCUUCAUGAGCUACGUCAGUGCUCAGAAGGCGUACAUCGAAUCCCUUGAUGGUUGGUUGUCCAAGUUCAUGCUCACAGACACCAUCCGUUAA